rnacentral:rRNA from 1 species
GACGAACGCUGGCGGCGUGCUUAACACAUGCAAGUCGAACGGUAAGGCCCUUCGGGGUACACGAGUGGCGAACGGGUGAGUAACACGUGGGUGAUCUGCCCUGCACUUCGGGAUAAGCCUGGGAAACUGGGUCUAAUACCGGAUAGGACCACUGCCUGCAUGGGUGGUGGUGGAAAGCUUUUGCGGUGUGGGAUGGGCCCGCGGCCUAUCGGCUUGUUGGUGGGGUGAUGGCCUACCAAGGCGACGACGGGUAGCCGGCCUGAGAGGGUGACCGGCGACACUGGGACUGAGAUACGGCCCAGACUCCUACGGGAGGCAGCAGUGGGGAAUAUUGCACAAUGGGCGCAAGCCUGAUGCAGCGACGCCGCGUGAGGGAUGACGGCCUUCGGGUUGUAAACCUCUUUCAGCACCGACGAAGCGCAAGUGACGGUAGGUGCAGAAGAAGGACCGGCCAACUACGUGCCAGCCGCCGCCAGUAA